rnacentral:rRNA from 1 species
UACGGAGGGGGCAAGCGUUGUUCGGAAUUACUGGGCGUAAAGGGCGCGUAGGCGGCCUUCUAAGUCGGACGUGAAAUCCCUCGGCUUAACCGGGGAACUGCGUCUGAUACUGGAUGGCUUGAGUUCGGGAGAGGGAUGCGGAAUUCCAGGUGUAGCGGUGAAAUGCGUAGAUAUCUGGAGGAACACCGGUGGCGAAGGCGGCAUCCUGGACCGGCAUUGACGCUGAGGCGCGAAAGCCAGGGGAGCAAACGGG